rnacentral:rRNA from 14 species
GGGCGCUUACCACUUUGUGAUUCAUGACUGGGGUGAAGUCGUAACAAGGUAACCGUAGGGGAACCUGCGGUUGGAUCACCUCCUUA